GUAUCCUUACUUAUUUGAGUAGACGAGUUAAAAUAUGGUUAAUUUCACGGACGAAAUUAUUUUAAGGGGUGGAGAAUGUAAUAUACCGAAACUUCGAUAAACAAAUAUCGAACUUUAGUCAAAAUGACCAAAGUGCGAGGUUGGUACGUUUUGGAAAGGCCGGAGGCGUCAGAAAGGGUAAAUGUGCAUUGUUGGGGGUUUUCGAGAGCUAAAGAAUCAAAAAUCUGCUUACUGCAGCUUUUGAGCUCUCGGGGACCGGUCCCUGGUGAGAGAGACCGGUCCCUGAAUGUAAAAAAUCUCAGAGAUAGAAAAAUCGGCUAAGUCCCAGAA
rnacentral:lncRNA from 1 species